AGUCGUGCGGUGAGCACAGAGCGAACUAUUCUUUCGCCUUUUACUAAAGAAUACCGUGUGCACGCAGCAUAUAACGGCAUACGCCAAAUUUUUAGAGGGGAUUUCCACGAGAAUUCC